CGAGUGUUGAAGCUGACGUACAGUUGCUCAGAAACAAGAGUGAGGCAGAACUGUGGACUUGGUCCAGCAUGACAACCCUCAGGAGAUCAUCCCUAAUUCUUUUGCCCUGACCAGCAAACUUAAUCAGCAGGAUGACUGGCUUUCUGUCAAGAAUCAGAAGAACAGAACUGUGAAGAGGGAAGUUCUAACCACAUGUCCAGAGGUCCAUGUCCAAAGUACAAAGGAUAUUUUUUUGCUAGUGAACUUGAAAGAUUAUUGAAGAAGGCAUUCUGGUCUGAAGAGACUAAAACAAAAAAUUCUGUGGAAGAAAACCAACACAUGAAGACUGAAAACACCAUUCCCAUCAUGAAACCUAGUGGCAGCAUCAUGAUAUGGGCAUUUUUUUCUUCUGACUGAUUAAUGAUAAAAUCAGUCUAUGGACACUGAAGGAACUACUUGAUGAAAGUAUUUGUAUCCUUUUUACUCAAGUGGACAUGUGUCUGCUAGUUUACUGAUGAACAUAUAGAUCGCUGCUGUGGGUCUGUACCUUACUGUUUUUUCCUCUCCAGUGUUUCUUCUGUUUCUUGUUCAGUAAAACCCAGAGAGGUAUGGAAUUGAGUCCUAAUUUCAAAUAAUUAAUGUAGUGAUGGAUCAGUCUGUUUAUAUUCACAUUAACAUUCAAAUAAAUUAUAAAUCAUGAAGUUCUUGUUAAAAUUGUAGUUACAUGUUUCUUUUUUCCAGGUUUCAGUAGAAAUGCCAGUUUCUCCCUCUUCCGUUUCUCACUUGGUGGAGCAGGAUCUCCACCAUGGCCAAUCAGAAAUCUCUGGCCCAUCUUGUCUCUUCCAGGGUCUUCUGGUUUAGAUAGUCCUUUAUUUUUGACAGCAAGCAAGGCCUUAGAAUCCAGGAUCC